GACGAACGCUGGCUGCGUGCUUAACACAUGCAAGUCGAACGGUGAAGGAGGGCUUGCCCUCCGGAUCAGUGGCGAACGGGUGAGUAACACGUGGGCAACCUGCCCCUCACUCUGGGAUAACGCCGGGAAACCGGCGCUAAUACCGGAUACGACCAGGCGCGACAUCUCGCCUGGUGGAAAGAAUUUCGGUGAGGGAUGGGCCCGCGGCCUAUCAGCUAGUUGGUGGGGUAACGGCCCACCAAGGCGACGACGGGUAGCCGGCCUGAGAGGGCGGCCGGCCACACUGGGACUGAGACACGGCCCAGACUCCUACGGGAGGCAGCAGUGGGGAAUAUUGCGCAACGGGCGAAAGCCUGACGCAGCGACGCAGCGUGAGGGACGAAGGCCUUCGGGUUGUAAACCUCUUUCAGCGGGGACGAAGCGAAAGUGACGGUACCCGCAGAAGAAGCACCGGCUAACUACGUGCCAGCCGCCGCCGUAACAC
rnacentral:rRNA from 1 species